rnacentral:RNase_P_RNA from 24 species
UGAGUUUGCCAGACAAUCGCUGACGAAAGUUGGAGGAAAGUCCGGGCUUUAUAGGGCAAAGCGCUGGGUAACGCCCAGGCAGCGUGAGCUGACGGAAAGUGCCACAGAAAAGAUACCGCCUCGAUUGAGGUAAGGGUGAAAUGGUGCGGUAAGAGCGCACCGCAUUUGCGGCAACGUAAAUGGCAGGGAAAACCCCGCUUAAAGCAAGACCAAAUAGAGAAUCAAUGCGGCGGCCCGUCGUGAUUCUGGGUAGGUCGCUAGAGGCUGGCAGUAAUGUUAGUCGCAGAGGAAUGAUUGUCCACGACAGAACCCGGCUUAUCGGUGAACUCAUCUU